GAUGAACGCUGGCGGCGUGCCUAAUACAUGCAAGUCGAGCGAACGGACGAGAAGCUUGCUUCUCUGAUGUUAGCGGCGGACGGGUGAGUAACACGUGGAUAACCUACCUAUAAGACUGGGAUAACUUCGGGAAACCGGAGCUAAUACCGGAUGAUAUUUUGAACCGCAUGGUUCAAAAGUGAAAGACGGUCUUGCUGUCACUUAUAGAUGGAUCCGUGCUGCAUUAGCUAGUUGGUAAGGUAGCGGCUUACCAAGGCAACGAUGCAUAGCCGACCUGAGAGGGUGAUCGGCCACACUGGAACUGAGACACGGUCCAGACUCCUACGGGAGGCAGCAGUAGGGAAUCUUCCGCAAUGGGCGAAAGCCUGACGGAGCAACGCCGCGUGAGUGAUGAAGGUCUUCGGAUCGUAAAACUCUGUUAUUAGGGAAGAACAUAUGUGUAAGUAACUGUGCACAUCUUGACGGUACCUAAUCAGAAAGCCACGGCUAACUACGUG
rnacentral:rRNA from 1 species